AAAGUCGUAACAAGGUCUCCGUAGGUGAACCUGCGGAGGGAUCAUUCACAUGAUCAUAAUCUUAAACAAUUCUGUGAACUUUUUUUUUUAAUAACAAUUCUUUUUUUUUUCUUUGUUUUCAUUAACAAGAAAAAAAAUUACAUUCGAUCAUACAUUAGAUAGCUGGUUUCUUUUAAUUAAGUAUUCUACAGCUGAUUGAAAUAUAUCUAAACAAUAUAUUUGAAUCAAGACAAACAAACAUAGAAUUUAACAACUCUAUGCCCUGGAUAUCUUGGUUCUC
rnacentral:misc_RNA from 1 species